rnacentral:rRNA from 1 species
UACGUAGGGGGCUAGCGUUAUCCGGAACUACUGGGCGUAAAGGGUGCGUAGGUGGUUUCUUAAGUCAGAGGUGAAAGGCUACGGCUCAACCGUAGUAAGCCUUUGAAACUGGGAAACUUGAGUGCAGGAGAGGAGAGUGGAAUUCCUAGUGUAGCGGUGAAAUGCGUAGAUAUAUGGAGGAACACCGGUGGCGAAAGCGGCUCUCUGGCCUGUAACUGACACUGAGGCUCGAAAGCGUGGGGAGCAAACAGG